CAAUUUUUAUUUACACUUGGGUUGCAUUUGUAAAAAACCAUCAUUCCUUCACUGUCGACGGCUAUUGAAAGGAGGACUGUGGCAAUUUCUUUUGUUCUGCCAAACCCACAGCAAUUUCUUUGUUCUGCCCAAGCCACCGCUGCCGGUAAAGCUAUGGAUUGUUGCUGGGAUUUUCUGCUUAUGCUAAUGCUUCUUCUUCAUUUUGCUCUCCUUCAUAAAGAUUGGUCAGCUUUCUUCAUAUGUGGUUGCUGUAACGAGCUUUCUUUCUUCGUCAUCUUGUGUUAUAUAUUUGGAGCUUGUAUUGAUUCAGGUUAGCUGAUCAUUCUCUCUCUUUUUUUUUUGGCUUUUUGUUCUACCAGUUUUUUGUUUCUUGUAUUGAUAAACUGCUACAAGAACAUAGAAUCUCCUGUUAAAAAUAAGAACUUUAAUUAUGAGACUUGAAACCCUUCAAGACUUCAAUUUGAUUAACGUUUAUUGAUUAUCAUAUCUAAAAUCGUACUUGAUCUUCACAUAGGAAGAUGUUACCCUUUUUUGAACAAUAUAUUUUACAUUGAAAUAUGAAGGCAUGCAUUUCAA